GCAGCGGCACACGCUGCCCUUUCCCCUCCCGCCGAGCCGGGCGGCCCUGGGGGAGCUGCCAGACCCCGCAGACCCGCUCCCUGCUCCCUCCAGCCUCCCCGGCCUCCUGCCUCCCCAUGGAUGUCAGGGGCGGCCCCCACGCCACAGAUUUCUUCUAUGUCCUGCAGAAAGGAGGACACUGCCUGGACAUUGAAACGCCCUGCUUCAAGUACCCACUCAUACCUGAUGGCAAUGAAGGGGAACUUCUCAUGAGAUUAGAAAAACACCAGAGAAGAAUGCUCUCACUGUGCCUUUAGGAUGGGCCUUUGAGGUAAAGGAUGGGAUCCCGUCUCCCACCAAAAGCUCCUGGAAGUUCCCAGCUCUGGGCCCAUCUGUUUCCCACGGGACCAUAUGUUCCCAGUGAGCAACACCCUAGGAGAGGGUGUUUAUCAAGACUAGCAGGUUGAAGCUUGGCAGAAUCUGCAAGAAAGCAAUUGGAGGCCUUUAAACGCAGACUUUCUAUUUGCAGUAUGUGAAGCCUGCAUGUGUGUGUUUCCUUCAACCACCCAUAUACCACAGGGGAAACCAUUCAAAAACAGGAUCCAAAAAUAGAAGAAAUUGUGUGACUCACAGCCCUGCCACCCUGAGUUGUACACUCAGCACAGAUCCCAGGCAAAGCACCAUUAGGUGCUACAUACUCUCCCCACUCAGAGCUCCAAGUAACCACAAAGGAAAAUCUACACUGUAUACACAUAACAAUACAUUACAUGCUGAAGGCAUCUCACUCAACAGUUCCCUUAUCUCCAAAUGGGCACUGUUCCAACACCACACUAAGAAGGUUUGGUUCUGCUGGCUGAGCAGGUCUUCUGGUGAAAAACAGCUGAGAAGAUCAGCCUGCAAAGAUUACAGAAUGACACAUAAAUACAGAAAUAUUAACACCACUGUCCUUGGCCACAUUUCUAUCUCUCUGGGAUUUUCAGCUAAGAAGGUUACUCCUUGCAUCUGCUCUUAAAUAUAUUGUGUUCAAUAUUUUUAUGGUCCUUCAUAUGUUCAAGAUGUUCGUAUUUCAGAGGUCACUGAAUUGAGUUUUGUCUAUAGAAACAAAAAGGUACAUGAGAGUUACCAGUUUUUGCCUGGGUAAUACCCACUUUCUUGUCAGAUAAACAGCAAGCAGCUGAACAUUUUCUAAAAAAAUGUUAUUUCUAAUAAAAAUAUUUUUGUCAA